GACGAACGCUGGCGGCGUGGAUUAGGCAUGCAAGUCGAACGGUAGGAUACCUUCGGGUAUCUGAGAGUGGCGAACGGGUGAGUAACACGUAGGUGAUCUACCCUCAAGAUUGGGACAACCCAGGGAAACUUGGGCUAAUACCGGAUGAAAGCAGCAGUGAUGUUGUUUGAAAGGUGGCGUAAGCUGCCGUUUGGGGAUGAGCCUGCGCUCUAUUAGUUAGUUGGCGGGGUAAAGGCCCACCAAGGCGAUGAUAGAUAGGCGGCCUUAACGGGUGGUCGCCCACACUGGGAUUGAGAUACGGCCCAGACUCCUACGGGAGGCAGCAGUCGAGAAUAGUCCACAAUGGCCGAAAGGCUGAUAGUGCGACGCCGCGUGAACGAAGAAGCCCUUCGGGUGUAAAGUUCUUUUAUAUGUGAGCAGUGCUUUCUAUGUGAACAGCAUGGGGAGAGAGAUAUUAGCAUAUGAAUAAGCAACGGCUAACUCCGUGCCAGC
rnacentral:rRNA from 1 species